rnacentral:miRNA from 1 species
GAUCAUGUACUGCCGCUCAGAGGGCGGGGGCGGGGGCGGGGGCAGGGGGGCGGCGGGGGCGGGG